rnacentral:rRNA from 1 species
AGUGAACGCUGGCGGUAGGCCUAACACAUGCAAGUCGAACGGCAGCACAGUAAGAGCUUGCUCUUACGGGUGGCGAGUGGCGGACGGGUGGGGAAUACAUCGGAAUCUACUUUUUCGUGGGGGAUAACGUAGGGAAACUUACGCUAAUACCGCAUACGACCUACGGGUGAAAGCAGGGGAUCUUCGGACCUUGCGCGAUUGAAUGAGCCGAUGUCGGAUUAGCUAGUUAGCGGGGUAAAGGCCCACCAAGGCGACGAUCCGUAGCUGGUCUGAGAGGAUGAUCAGCCACACUGGAACUGAGACACGGUCCAGACUCCUACGGGAGGCAGCAGUGGGGAAUAUUGGACAAUGGGCGCAAGCCUGAUCCAGCCAUACCGCGUGGGUGAAGAAGGCCUUCGGGUUGUAAAGCCCUUUUGUUGGGAAAGAAAAGCAGCAGGUUAAUACCCCGCUGUUCUGACGGUACCCAAAGAAUAAGCACCGGCUAACUUCGUG